rnacentral:rRNA from 1 species
GGGGAACAACAGCGGGAAACUGCUGCUAAUACCGCAUGACAUUCUCGGGUCGCACCGAUCAAAGCCGGGGACCGYAAGGCCUGGCGCUUGGAGAUGAGCCCGCCGAUUAGCUAGUUGGCGGGGUAAUGGCCCACCAAGGCUUCGAUCGGCCGGCCUGAGAGGGCGGACGGCCACACUGGGACUGAGACACGGUCCAUCCUACGGGAGGCAGUAGUGGGGAAUUUUUCGCAAUGGGGGAGCAACUGCCGCGUGGAGGAUGAAGG